CCCAAUCUUUGUUCAAGAUUGUAUUUUGACUAGAAAGAAGAGAUUUUUGGAUCAGUGUGAGAAUCUGCUAGGUUUUUGUUCAAUUGUGGUUUUUGGUUUUGUGAAUAAAUGGAAUUGGUUUUUAGUGCAAUGUGAGUAGGUUUUGGUUUUGUUACUGUGAAAUAUAGCA